rnacentral:rRNA from 1 species
GCGCGAAAACUUUACAAUGCUGGCAACAGCGAUAAGGGAACCUCGAGUGCCAGGUUACAAAUCUGGCUGUCGAGAUGCCUAAAAAAGCAUUUCAUAGCAAGGGCCGGGCAAGACCGGUGCCAGCCGCCGCGGUAACACCGGCGGCUCGAGUGGUAACCGUUAUUAUUGGGUCUAAAGGGUCUGUAGCCGGCCGGAUAAGUCUCUUGAGAAAUCUGGCAGCUUAACUGUCAGGCUUUCAGGAGAUACUGUCUGGCUCGAGGCCGGGAGAGGUGAGAGGUACUUCAGGGGUAGGGGUGAAAUCUUGUAAUCCUUGAAGGACCACCAGUGGCGAAGGCGUCUCACCAGAACGGACCUGACGGCAAGGGACGAAAGCUAGGGGCACGAACCGGAUUAGAAACCCCU